ensembl:lncRNA
GCUAAGUGCUUGGCUAUAGUAAAUGACUAUUUUCUAUAAAGUGAGACAAUGACACCUAUUUUCAUUUGACAGAUGUGUAAGGUAUCCUAUCAAGAUUACAAGUACAACUAUUAGCAGCUUCCAUCUUUGCCCACGUGGUUUAAUAAGAAUAGAUGGCACAAAGCAAAAGAAUUUAACCAGAUAUCUCAGUAUGUUGCCAUGGAAAAGCUUGUGUGAACUGAACAGGAACAAAAGGCGCAUGUCUGCAAUCUGAAAAUGGAGACAGUUAAGACAAGAAAAUCUUUCAAACAGCGCCUUUAAAACACAACUAUGAACAUCAGACUUCAAAUGAUGAAAUCCAUACUUAAACAUUUAAUUUAACAAGCACAUGGAACCCCCAUCUGCAGCUGGUCAUGAUUCACUUCAAU